rnacentral:rRNA from 1 species
CAGUAGCCGCGGGAAUACGAAGGGGGCUAGCGUUGUUCGGAAUUACUGGGCGUAAAGCGCACGUAGGCGGAUAUUUAAGUCAGGGGUGAAAUCCCGCAGCUCAACUGCGGAACUGCCUUUGAUACUGGGUAUCUUGAGUAUGGAAGAGGUUAGUGGAAUUGCGAGUGUAGAGGUGAAAUUCGUAGAUAUUCGCAGGAACACCAGUGGCGAAGGCGGCUAACUGGUCCAUAACUGACGCUGAGGUGCGAAAGCGUGGGGAGCAAACAGGAUUAGAUACCCCAGUAGUCCCUGUCUCUUAUAA